UGAUUUUUUUUAUCAGCAACGUUGGCAGACAUAAAUAUAAGCAAAUAUAUUUUAUUUAGAUUUAACAUUUUUUCAGUCAACAUUCAACCUGAGCUAAAGAAACAAACGCCGUUCUCGAUUUCCAAAGCGGAAAGCAAAGAGGCGGUGGCGUUGCUCGCCUUCUUCGCGCGAAGAACAUAUCUAAUAAGGUAUCCAUCGUGAUCGGCCAUCACUAGUUAUAUCAGUUUUCGUUGUCUCUCGAUCGAUCGGAUCGCGGAUUUUUAUUCGAUCGCGAGAGAUGCCGCAGCCGAGCAAAGAACCGUGCAAGAAGGAGGCCUGCGAGAUCCAAUCUUGCCUCACCAAAAAUAACUUCAUCCCCCAAAGGUGCCUCAAAGUCAUUGAAUUGUUGGAGGCAUGCUGUGAAAAAUGCAACUAUAAUUCAACGCAUUGUGCUUCUCUGUCAGGGCUUCUUAAAACAAAAUCAAAGUGAUGCUAUGAAAGCAUAUGCAAGUAGAGAUAUCUAAUAUCUCGACAAUAAAUUUCCAUGCAAGGAACAAGUGAGGGUGAAAUGUUGCAGUGGUCCAUGGUGGCAACCCUCAAGCUCCUGGGCAGUUCAAGCCAAUGAGCUAGAGUACUGACUCAACUACAAUUCACAAACUUUUUACCUGGCACAGAAUUAAUAUCUGCGUAUUGGGGAGCGGUCAUGACGUCCUCUAGAAACUUCUAUGUUCUCUUGUUUCUCCUCUCUUGGUGUCAUCCAUACUCUGUAUUGGUUUCAUGACAUACGAAAGAUUAGUCAAUAUCACAGGAUCCUUCUUGACAUUCAUUACUGAUAGGUACAUGAUUACUUUGGGAUGUUUGUAUAUUUGUACAUCCUUUUAUCACAGAUAUAUGUUGAUUAGUUAUCUUCAGGUCCCCUACCAUGAAGAAUGACUAAAUGAGAUAA